UACGUAGGUGGCAAGCGUUGUCCGGAUUUACUGGGCGUAAAGGGCGUGCAGGCGGUCUGUUAAGCGUAGGGUGAAAGCUCCUGGCUCAACUGGGAGAGGUCUCUGCAUACUGGCGGACUCGAGGGAGGCAGAGGAAAGUGGAAUUCCCGGUGUAGUGGUGAUAUGCGUAGAUAUCGGGAGGAACACCUGUGGCGAAGGCGGCUUUCUGGGCCUUACCUGACGCUGAGACGCGAAAGCGUGGGGAGCGAACCGG
rnacentral:rRNA from 1 species